rnacentral:tRNA from 1 species
GCGGGCGUGGCGGAAUUGGUAGACGCGCCAGAUUUAGGUUCUGGUGACUUAAGGUCGUGGGGGUUCGAGUCCCUUCGCCCGCACCA